AUCUAUUUUCUGGAUAACAAAAAUUGUGCCUUUAAAUCUCGGUAUUGUAGCCUCACUACGUUCAUCGUAUAUAAAAAUGGGGGAAUAUUACACAAAUCAUUAUCAUUGCUCUGUUCAGCUGUGGUCCAAUGCUCUUCCCCCACAGGUUAAGUUAUGUGUUAACAGUUGUGAUUAGAUUAAAAAUCUGUUAAAAAUCUGCAGAUAGACUAGAUUCGAUCUGGAUAAUCAACAGUUUCUUCUUCAGUAAGUCCAUGUAUUAAUUUAAG